GGCCCAACCAAUCACCUCUCCAGC
rnacentral:siRNA from 1 species